UGGAGCUCCUUUCUAUCUGCUAGAUGGGAUGCCGCCUGAUCCAAAUCAAUUUUGCUCAAAUACACUCUUAACUUUUUACAUUGUCUCAUGUUAUCUUUGAACGAUACAAAUCUCAGAAACUACACCCGUGGGGUGCCCAGCUUCAUUAGGGCGCCUGGGGUACCGUCCUGGAGCUAACUGUUCACCUGCCUCCCUUCCCCACCUUGAGAAGCCCAGAGCUUCUGGUCCCUGAGAAACGUGACUUUCUGGUUUCUUUCCCCAAGGUCUGUGCCCGUCAGAAGGCUGUUGAACUGGCUCAAGAGCAUUCAUCAUUCUUCUGUGACAGCGGGAGGACCCCAGCUUCGCCCUCAGUACCUUAGCCGUGGACUCAGACCGCAGGCUGUGCGUGAGGCUCGAACACGCAGGUGUCAUUCUGGGCGAUGGCAAUAAGAAACCAAACACGGGUCACUGACGACCUUGCACUCCGGCCACCGGAGAAGAGCGGAAGGAGGGAUAGGGCCCUUCUCAUCGGGAGGGCCGUCCUCAUCACAUCCGGAGGGGCCUGGAAGGUGGCAUGCAUGUGCAGGAGAGCCCAGUGGGGGCCCAGCUCUCCACACACGCCCAGUGGAGCGCCACGCCCUGCACGCAUGCACAGGCCUGCAGAUGCAAAAGGCCUGGCGGGAAGGAAGAGCUGGGUCAGACCUGUAAAACUGCCUGAGCUUUGCAUGCACUCCGCUGAUCGACGCACAGUCCCAUCAGGAGAGGGUGGAAGCCUUUGGGGACGGCCUCCGCCCCAUUGCUGGCUCACAGGCACCUCUGGAAAGCAGCACUCUGAGCGGGGAGCAGCCGGCGGCUGGAGCGGGGCCAGGAGCUGGCAGACCAGACCAACCCUCCACCCCGCGGAGCCAAUGGGGCGUGGCCAAGGAGGGGGACGCGACGGGAGGAGUGGAGGGAUCCUGGAAGUAUCCAGAAGGAAAUGCUGACCGGAUGUAUUGCCAGGCCAGCGAGGAGGUAGGAGAGAGAGAAAGGAGUCAAGGAGAGGAGCAAGGUUUUGGCCUGAGCAGCAGGAAGAGAGUUGAUGCCAUUAACCGAGGCGGAGAAAACUGGCCUUGCUACUUCGGGGGGAAGGGGGAGCCCCGUUUUGAACAGGUCAGGUUUGAGGCACCCGUUAGGCAUCCAAGUGCAGGGCUGAGUCGGCACCGGUCGGACGGGUCUGCAGUGCAGAGAUGCGCGGGCUGGAGGUAACCGCGGGGAAGUCACCGGCAGGGACAGUUUCCCGGGCUGACCGAGCUCUGUGCGCAACGACGCGGGAGCCACAGGCUCAGUGGAAACGGAGAUAUCAUUCGUUUAUGAAAUCAAAAUACAGAUCAAGAAUUGCCAAUGAGGGGCGCCGGGGUGGCACAGCGGUUAAGCGUCUGCCUUCGGCUCAGGGGGUGAUCCCGGCAUUCUGGGAUCGAGCCCCACGUCAGGCUCC